CCUACGGGUAGCAUCAUUUGUGAAUAUUGCACAAUUGUUUAAACCCUGAUUCAGCGACGCCUCGUGAAGGACGAAGUAUUUCGGUACGUACACUUCUAUCAGCAGGGAAGAAAAUGACGGUACCUGACCAAGAAGCCCCGGCUAACUACGUGCCAGCAGCCGCGGUAAUACGUAGGGGGCAAGCGUUAUCCGGAUUUACUGGGGGUAAAGGGAGCGUAGACGGCCAUGCAAGUCUGAUGUGAAAACCCGGGGCUCAACCCCGGGACUGCAUUGGAAACUGUGCGGCUGGAGUGUCGGAGAGGCAAGUGGAAUUCCUAGUGUAGCGGUGAAAUGCGUAGAUAUUAGGAGGAACACCAGUGGCGAAGGCGGCUUGCUGGACGACGACUGACGUUGAGGCUCGAAAGCGUGGGGAGCAAACAGGAUUAGAUACCCUGGUAGUC
rnacentral:rRNA from 1 species